AUCCCGGCUUACCAAACCGAUGCAAACUCCGAAUACCGAAGAAUGUUAUCACGGGAGACACACGGCGGGUGCUAACGUCCGUCGUGAAGAGGGAAACAACCCAGACCGCCAGCUAAGGUCCCAAAGUCAUGGUUAAGUGGGAAACGAUGUGGGAAGGCAUAGACAGCCAGGAUGUUGGCUUAGAAGCAGCCAUCAUUUAAAGAAAGCGUAAUAGCUCACUGGUCGAGUCGGCCUGCGCGGAAGAUGUAACGGGGCUAAACCAUGCACCGAAGCUGCGGCAGCGACGCUUAGGCGUUGUUGGGUAGGGGAGCGUUCUGUAAGCCGUUGAAGGUGGCCUGUGAGGGUUGCUGGAGGUAUCAGAAGUGCGAAUGCUGACAUAAGUAACGAUAAAGCGGGUGAAAAGCCCGCUCGCCGGAAGACCAAGGGUUCCUGUCCAACGUUAAUCGGGGCAGGGUGAGUCGACCCCUAAGGCGAGGCUGAAAAGCGUAGUCGAUGGGAAACAGGUUAAUAUUCCUGUACUUGGUGUUACUGCGAAGGGGGGACGGAGAAGGCUAGGCUAGCCGGGCGACGGUUGUCCCGGUUUAAGCGUGUAGGGGGUGUGACCUGGUAAAUCCGGUUGCAUACUAACCCUGAGGCGUGAUGACGAUGCACUACGGUGCAGAAGUAGUUGAUGCCCUGCUUCCAGGAAAAUCCUCUAAGCUCCAGGUAACAUUAAAUCGUACCCCAAACCGACACAGGUGGUCAGGUAGAGAAUACCAAGGCGCUUGAGAGAACUCGGGUGAAGGAACUAGGCAAAAUGGUGCCGUAACUUCGGGAGAAGGCACGCUGGCAUGUAGGUGAAGUCCCUUGCGGAUGGAGCUGAAGCCAGUCGAAGAUACCAGCUGGCUGCAACUGUUUAAUAAAAACACAGCACUGUGCAAACACGAAAGUGGACGUAUACGGUGUGACGCCUGCCCGGUGCUGGAAGGUUAAUUGAUGGGGUCAGCCGCAAGGCGAAGCUCUUGAUCGAAGCCCCAGUAAACGGCGGCCGUAACUAUAACGGUCCUAAGGUAGCGAAAUUCCUUGUCGGGUAAGUUCCGACCUGCACGAAUGGCGUAAUGAUGGCCAGGCUGUCUCCACCCGAGACUCAGUGAAAUUGAACUCGCUGUGAAGAUGCAGUGUACCCGCGGCAAGACGGAAAGACCCCGUGAACCUUUACUAUAGCUUGACACUGAACAUUGAGCCUUGAUGUGUAGGAUAGGUGGGAGGCUUUGAAGCGUGGACGCCAGUCUGCGUGGAGCCAUCCUUGAAAUACCACCCUUUAAUGUUUGAUGUUCUAACUCGGCCCCAUAAUCCGGGGUGAGGACAGUGUCUGGUGGGUAGUUUGACUGGGGCGGUCUCCUCCCAAAGAGUAACGGAGGAGCACGAAGGUUAGCUAAUCACGGUCGGACAUCGUGAGGUUAGUGCAAAGGCAUAAGCUAGCUUGACUGCGAGAGUGACGGCUCGAGCAGGUACGAAAGUAGGUCUUAGUGAUCCGGUGGUUCUGAAUGGAAGGGCCAUCGCUCAACGGAUAAAAGGUACUCCGGGGAUAACAGGCUGAUACCGCCCAAGAGUUCAUAUCGACGGCGGUGUUUGGCACCUCGAUGUCGGCUCAUCACAUCCUGGGGCUGAAGUAGGUCCCAAGGGUAUGGCUGUUCGCCAUUUAAAGUGGUACGCGAGCUGGGUUUAGAACGUCGUGAGACAGUUCGGUCCCUAUCUGCCGUGGGCGUUGGAAGAUUGAGAGGGGUUGCUCCUAGUACGAGAGGACCGGAGUGAACGCACCACUGGUGUUCGGGUUGUCAUGCCAAUGGCAUUGCCCGGUAGCUAAGUGCGGAAAAGAUAAGCGCUGAAAGCAUCUAAGCGCGAAACUUGCCUCAAGAUGAGUCUUCCCUGGGCCUUCAAGGCCCCUGAAGGAACGUUUAAGACUAAGACGUUGAUAGGCUGGGUGUGUAAGUGCAGCGAUGCAUUGAGCUAACCAGUACUAAUGAUCCGUGAGGCUUAACCUU
rnacentral:rRNA from 1 species